GACAGAGGGUGCAAACGUUGCUCGGAAUUACUGGGCGUAAAGCGCGUGUAGGUGGUCACCCCAGUCGGAUGUGAAAGCCCAGGGCUCAACCCUGGACGUGCAUACGAUACUAGGUGGCCGGAGUCUCGGAGAGGAUAGCGGAAUUCCCGGUGUAGAGGUGAAAUUCGUAGAUAUCGGGAGGAACACCAGUGGCGAAGGCGGCUAUCUGGACGAGUACUGACACUGAGACGCGAAAGCAUGGGGAGCAAACAGG
rnacentral:rRNA from 1 species